rnacentral:rRNA from 1 species
AGAGUUUGAUCCUGGCUCAGGAUGAACGCUGGCGGCGUGCUUAACACAUGCAAGUCGAACGGGAAACUUUUCAUUGAAGCUUCGGCAGAUUUGGUUUGUUUCUAGUGUCGGACGGGUUAGUAACGCGUGGGUAACCUGCCUUAUACAGGGGGAUAACAACCAGAAAUGGUUGCUAAUACCGCAUAAGCGCACAGGACCGCAUGGUCCGGUGUGAAAAACUCCGGUGGUAUAAGAUGGACCCGCGUUGGAUUAGCUAGUUGGCAGGGUAACGGCCUACCAAGGCGACGAUCCAUAGCCGGCCUGAGAGGGUGAACGGCCACAUUGGGACUGAGACACGGCCCAGACUCCUACGGGAGGCAGCAGUGGGGAAUAUUGCACAAUGGGGGAAACCCUGAUGCAGCGACGCCGCGUGAAGGAAGAAGUAUCUCGGUAUGUAAACUUCUAUCAGCAGGGAAGAUAGUGACGGUACCUGACUAAGAAGCCCCGGCUAACUACGUGCCAGCAGCCGCGGU